AAUUAAGUCAGGCACAGAGUGAAGGGGGAUCUUUAACAGGUGGGAGGAGCAGAAGGUGGGUGUCUGAGGGCUUUUGCAGCCGGGAGGUUCUGGGCCUUGAGUAAGCCCGGUAUUAUGGCAGCUCACUCAGGUUGGAGAGAUGAAGGUGUCCAGGGACUAAGGAUUCAGCCACAGCAGUUGACAAGGUGUUCAACCUGGCAUUCGGCUUCCUUCAGCCCGGAGGGCGUAUCAAUUUCACUUUCAUCAGCCCCAGACAAAGAGAAGGCUGUUAGUUAAUUCUGUGCCCCAGGCUGAUCUGUUCUAGUUUUUUUUUUUUUUUUCUUGGUUAUUGCCUAACACUGGCUCCAGUUCUCUCUGGUCCUGCCUGGGGGCGGACCCUUGGGCCCCCCUCCUCUUGAUUGCAGAAUUUAUUUAUUUAUCCCUGCAGUUUUUCCCUGAGUUGGGUGGGGGCUGUCAGGCCCUGGGUGAGAUGCAGGACAGAGGAAGGUGAUUGAGGAAAGACGACAAUGAGAUGCACACACGGGGACCUGGGAGAGCGGCUGAUCCAAAUCUACUCUGAAGACUUUCGAUUUCAGUGGAAAUAAUGAGUGGGGAUGACUAAUGAAGACUUCGCCCUUUCCACGAGGUGGAUGGAGCUCGGCUGAGGGUUUCUCUGGUCCUGGGAAGUCAGGCGGUAGGGUUUCUACCCAAUAACUCCUGAGAGUCCAAAGAGUCAGGACCUGGCCAGCUCAGUGAGACCUCGAAGGCCGUUCCCAGAAGAUGAUCCAGAAUUCAAGGGAUGACUUGGGGAUGAGUGUGUACAGCAAGGGGGAUUAAACUGAUGAAAGAUUCA